CUCUCUCUAUCGCUCCCCCUUCUGUCUGUUAAUGCCUGGUCUAAAUCCUUUUACCAUCACUUUCAAUCACUAUCUGAGCCUUUAUCUGCUGGAGCCGGAGCCCUGCUGCCUCGGCCGGGGCGGUGCAGCCUCCUCUGUCCGCUCCAAAGUGUUUCCCUUCGGGUCCGAUCAGUAACCUGCUCGACUUCAAGAACCAGCGAGGAAACAACACCGCAAUUGUCCUCGUGUGUCCAGAAGAAGACGGUCUUUGUAACCACCGAAAGUCAUCACCAACAUCAUCUCCUCACUGGUGCAGGAGCAGAUGUCCCUAAUCAUUCCGGAGCAAGUCAUGACGGUGCAGUUCACCCCACAGAGGUGAGGGAAAGACACACGGGCUUACAGGAAGGCUCCAUCAGACCAAACAGGGCCGCAUGCAAAAGGCAGAGGAAAUUAUGAAUGUCUGUACGAAGCACUGACAGCACAUCUGAAAUCAAUAACCUGUCCUUGGCGGGCCUCGCUGCUCUUUUUGAAUCACACAGACAUCUUUUUGAAUCUUUUUCUUUUUUUGCACUUUAAUCUUUUGUGUGCUGCUCUUUCACUUACACCCAUGUGAAAAGGACCGUUUUCUGGCGCAGUGUCGUAAACAGAAGUCUUUUACCACAGAAUCACAGACUGAAAUCGAUGCGUCGGGACCAAAAGAGAGUCCUGCUGCCGAAUUUGUCAUUUCCCGAGGCGGAAAACCCAACACGUCUCUGAAUUUCUCAUUUAGCCCGCGUUUGCCGCUCAAGGUUUGCAAGCUCCCGCCUCUUCAUCCUCGUGGAAGGGACUGAACGAUUAGAGGCAGAGGUUCAUUAGUGAUUCAGGGAUGGCCAGAGAGCGUCAGCCAUUGCGAAAACAUGACUUAGCGCGAUUAAGCCCCGAGCCUUUUAUCACACAAAUGGACGAGGCUUACGCGUUCGCACAAACCGCCAGAGUCAGAUUCAGCCCCUACAUUCACACUUUACCGUAUCCACUCGAAUGUGCGUCAAUAACCUUAUAGAAAUGUCACCCCUCAAAAUGAUGAAUGAGUGAUCUGGUGCUUUUACAAUCCAAUUAUGUCUAACUAAAUAACAGCAUCAAUAACAAUAGAACAGCCUGUCCUGGCUAAUAGACCUGCGCACACUCGUGCUGCUGCAUUCAUUUCCUGCAACAGUGUUGGUGACAUAACCAGGUUGGGUAAAAUUAGAGGCCCCUUAAAUCUGACUCGAUUGUAAUCUGUGAACGUUACAUAAGGUGGGGGGGAUUUCGGUGAAUGGUAAAUCCCUCCGCUCCGAUGCUGGAACGUCGUGUAUAGCGCCGUCAGUACGCAGCAGAAUCAAAAUGGCGAGACUUUUGCAGGCUCCCGC
rnacentral:lncRNA from 1 species